CCGCAAGGUCACCGUCGUACGGGUGCGUAACGCGUAUGCAACCUACCUUCCACUGGGGGAUAGCCCGGGGAAACCCGGAUUAAUACCGCAUGACACAGUUUUAUCUCCUGGUGAGACUGUUAAAGAUUUAUCGGUGGAAGAUGGGCAUGCGUCUGAUUAGCUAGUUGGCGGGGUAACGGCCCACCAAGGCGACGAUCAGUAGGGGAGCUGAGAGGUUGAUCCCCCACACGGGCACUGAGAUACGGGCCCGACUCCUACGGGAGGCAGCAGUAGGGAAUAUUGGGCAAUGGAUGAGAGUCUGACCCAGCCAUGCCGCGUGCCGGAUGAAGGCCCUCAGGGUUGUAAACGGCUUUUAUCCGGGAAGAAGAGCGGGGGUGCGCCCCCGUGUGACGGUACCGGAUGAAUAAGCACCGGCUAACUCCGUGCCAGCAGCCGCGGUAAUACGGAGGGUGCAAGCGUUGUCCGGAUUUAUUGGGUUUAAAGGGUGCGUAGGUGGCUUGUUAAGUCAGUGGUGAAAGACAGCCGCUCAACGGUUGAGGUGCCAUUGAUACUGACGGGCUUGAAGCAGACAGAGGCUGCCGGAAUGGAUGGUGUAGCGGUGAAAUGCAUAGAUAUCAUCCAGAACACCGAUUGCGAAGGCAGGUGGCUAUGUCUGACUUGACACUGAGGCACGAAAGCAUGGGGAGCAAACAGGAUUAGAUACCCUGGUAGUCCAU
rnacentral:rRNA from 1 species